rnacentral:rRNA from 1 species
AUGGCCGCCGCUUCGCCUGCCACGCUCGUCUUCCUCCUCUCCCUCAUCUGCGCCCCCUCCCGGUUCCUCACCGGCGCCCUGCCACCUCCACCGCUGGCGCCGCCCAAGCCUGUGAUGCCAGCCCCAACGACACCGCCCAAGCCCGUGAUGCCAGCCCCCACGACGCCGCCCAAGCCUGUGAUGCCAGCCCCCACGACGCCGCCCAAGCCCGUGACUCCACCUCCGGUGAAGGCGCCCAAGCCCGUGACUCCACCUCCGGCGACGCCGCCGAAGCCCCUGCCGCCACCUCCGGCGACGCCGACCAAGCCAGUGCUUCCGCCCCCGGUGACGGCGCCGAAGCCCGUGAUGCCACCCAUCGCGAUGCCGCCAACGACCGCGCUGGCGCCCGCGCCGUGGGACGAACCAAGCUACGGGUCCAACCCGAUUCCGGAGGAGAUCAAGACCGUGUGCAGGCGGACGCCGUUCCCGCAGCUGUGCGGGCGCGCGCUGGGCUUCGUGGUGGACCCGCAGAGGGUGAACGACACGCGGUGGCUGGCGGAGACGUCGCUGCGCAUCGCCAUCGAGGCCGGCACGGGGCUGGCCGCCCUCGGGUGGGUCAACCUGGGGGGCGCCCCGAGCGGCACCAGGCUGCGGAUGUGCGUGCGCGUGGACGCCGCGGUCAAGAACCUGACGGCGUCGCAGGCGGCGCUGAGGCGGGGCGACCUCAGGGUGGCGGUGCAGACGCUGGGCGACGCGGCCAAGGGGUGCGGCAUCUGCUGGGGCAGCUGCGCGAGCUUCACCGGGGAGGUCAUGCAGGUCAUGAUCAAGCGCGCGCGCCAGUUCGAGAAGCUCGUCAUGGUCGCCGGCUCCGUUAUCCUCAUCAUUAUCAAGUGA